ACGGCAACCGCGGUAGCAGUGCCCUCCAAGCCAGCCGUCGUUACAGUGAAUGUUGACGACGUGGCGGGACGCGACUGCGGCAGUGAUGGCCACACGAUGUUCUUGUCCGGAGUGGUCGGUGCUCCCAUUGGCGACGUUGCCGGCAAUGCUGGCAUCAGCACGACAUUUGCGACAUCGGUGGCUGUGGUAGAGCUAGCGGGCCGUGACAGGCGACCGGAGGUGAAGGGGCACUGAGGGGCCCGGCUGCUGCCGCUGCUACAACGGCUUAUGCCGCCCGAGGGCAUAUUGGGGGUUUGGGCUGGUGGCAGCACGGAUGUCCCCGGGUUUGGUCGCUGGAUUUGCGACCUGGCGGUCUGCAGCUGUUGCAGCUCUGAGGUGUUCUGUUCCCGCUUCUGGUGCUCCUGUUGCUGCUGCUCCUUGAUGCGCUCCUCAAGCACCCAACGCUCCUCCUCCUUGGCGUCGUUAUCGGUCGCAGUGAAGAUGAUGGUCU
rnacentral:lncRNA from 1 species